rnacentral:rRNA from 1 species
AAAGGAAUAGACGGGGACCCGCACAAGCAGCGGAGCAUGUGGUUUAAUUCGAAGCAACGCGAAGAACCUUACCAAGACUUGACAUCUAUAUGACCUUCCUAGAAACAGGAACUCUCUUCGGAGCAUAUAGACAGGUGGUGCACGGUUGUCGUCAGCUCGUGUCGUGAGAUGUUUGGUUAAGUCCAGCAACGAGCGCAACCCUUAUCAUUAUUUGCCAAUAUUAAGUUAGGAACUAUAGUGAGACUGCCGUAGAUAAUACGGAGGAAGGUGGGGAUGACGUCAAAUCAUCAUGCCCCUUACGUCUUGGGCUACACACGUGCUACAAUGGCUAUUACAAAGAGCAGCGAUAUGGUAACAUGGAGCAAAUCUCAUAAAAAUAGUCUCAGUUCGGAUUGUGGGCUGCAACUCGCCCACAUGAAGUAGGAGUUGCUAGUAAUCCCGAAUCAGAACGUCGGGGUGAAUGCGUUCCCGGGUCUUGUACACACCGCCCGU